rnacentral:rRNA from 1 species
AGCAGCCGCGGUAAUUCCAGCUCCAAUAGCGUAUAUUAAAGUUGUUGUAGUUAAAAAGCUCGUAGUUGAAUUUCGGGGUCAGUAGGUUGGUCAUGCCACUGGUAUGUACUGGUCUCACUGAUUCCUCCUUCCUGAUGAGCCGUAAUGCCAUUAAUUUGGUGUUGCGAGGAAUCUGGACUGUUACUUUGAAAAAAUUAGAGUGUUUAAAGCAGGCUAACGCUUGAAUACAUUAGCAUGGAAUAAUGAAAUAGGACGUUCGAUCCUAUUUUGUUGGUUUCUAGGGUUGACGUAAUGAUUAAUAGGGAUAGUUGGGGGCAUUAGUAUUCAAUUGUCAGAGGUGAAAUUCUUGGAUUUAUUGAAGACUAACUACUGCGAAAGCAUUUGCCAAGGAUGUUUUCAUUAAUCAAGAACGAAAGUUAGGGGGAUCGAAGACGAUCAGAUACCGUCGUAGUCUUAACCAUAAACUAUGCCGACUAGGGAUCGGAUGAUGUUAAUUUUUUAAUGUAACUCA